CCUACGGGGGGCUGCAGUGGGGAAUAUUGGACAAUGGGGGGAACCCUGAUCCAGCCAUGCCGCGUGUGUGAAGAAGGCCCUCGGGUUGUAAAGCACUUUCAGUGAGGAAGAACGCCUGGUGGUUAAUACCCAUCAGGAAAGACAUCACUCACAGAAGAAGCACCGGCUAACUCCGUGCCAGCAGCCGCGGUAAUACGGAGGGUGCGAGCGUUAAUCGGAAUUACUGGGCGUAAAGCGCGCGUAGGUGGCUUGAUAAGCCGGUUGUGAAAGCCCCGGGCUCAACCUGGGAACGGCAUCCGGAACUGUCAAGCUAGAGUGCAGGAGAGGAAGGUAGAAUUCCCGGUGUAGCGGUGAAAUGCGUAGAGAUCGGGAGGAAUAACAGUGGCGAAGGCGGCCUUCUGGACUGACACUGACACUGAGGUGCGAAAGCGUGGGUAGCAAACAGGAUUAGAUACCCCAGUAGUC
rnacentral:rRNA from 1 species